UAAUGAACAAGAAUGGGAUAAAGAGUUGGCUUACAAUUGCCACUUCACACAAUACAUGAAUAAACAUACAUCAUUCAGAGAUACACACAUAGGUCCGACUACGGAACCAAAAGAAAAGAAGACAACCCAACUGCUAGAUCCCUGAUCGUCCCAACUGGGCACCACUACUGAUCAAAAAGAAAAGAAACAACACAACGGACAAGAUCUUCAUCGAGCUCCCACUUGAGCUCAGUAGCGUCACCUGCACUGGUAUCAUCGGCACCUGCAACUGUUUGGAAGUAUCUGUGAGUCACGAGGACUCAGCAAUCUCACACCCGCGAGAUCAAGACUAUUUAAGCUUAAAGGAAAGGAUGGGGAAAAGAGGUGGAGCUACAGCAAGCACUAGCAUAUAAGGUGGCUAACAUACGCAAAUAAGAGCGAGAAGAGAAGCAACGGAACGGUCGUGAACUAGCAAUGAUCAAGAAGUGAUCCUGAACUCCUACUUACGUCAAACAUAACCCAGAAACCGUGUUCACUUCCCGGACUCCGCCGAGAAGAGACCAUCACGGCUACACACGCGGUUGAUGUAUUUUAAUUAAGUCAAGUGUCAAGUUCUCUACAACCGGACAUUAACAAAUUCCCAUCUGCCUCAUAACCGCGGGCACGGCUUUCGAAAGAUAAUACCCUGGAGGGGUGUCCCAACUUAGCCCAUCAUAAGCUCUCACGGUCAACGAAGGAUAAACCUUCUCCCAGGAAGACCCGAUCAGUCUCGGAAUCUCGGUUACAAGACAUUUCGACAAUGGUAAAACAAAACCAGCAAAGCCGCCCGAAUGUGCCGACAAAUCCCGAUAGGAGCUGCACAUAUCUCGUUCUCAGGGCACACCGGAUGAACACUAUGUACAACUAAAACCAGACCUCGAGUUUCCCCGAGGUGGCGCUGCAAGUGGCUCUAUUUUGGACCAGCACUCAGAGGAACACUGGCCCGGGGGUUUAAAAUAAGGAUGACCCUUGAGUCUGCAGAACCCAAGGGAAAAAGGCUUAGGUAGGCAAAUGGUAAAACCAAGGUUGGGCCUUGCUGGAGGAGUUUUAUUCAAAGCGAACUGUCAAGGGGGUCCCAUAAAUCACCCAACCGCAUAAGGAACGCAAAAUCAAGGAACAUAACACCGGUAUGACGGAAACUAGGGGCGGCAAGAGUGGAACAAAACACCAGGCAUAAGGCCGAGCCUUCCACCCUUUACCAAGUAUAUAGAUGCAUUAAUUAAGAUAAGAGAUAUUGUGAUAUCCCAACAUAAACAUAAUCCAACAUGGAGCAAUCUUCAUCUUCACCUGCUACUAGCAACGCUAUAAGAAGGGGCUGAGCAAAGCGGUAACAUAGCCAAUCAACGGUUUGCUAGGAAGGGUGAAAAGGUUAGGGGCUGACAAGGCCGUAUGGGAGGCAUGAUAUAGCAAGUGGUAGGUAGCGCGGCAUGGCAAUAGAACGAGCAACUAGCAAAGCAAAGAUAGAAGUGAUUUCGAGGGGUGGUCAUCUUGCCUGAGAUCCCGCAAGGAAGAAGAACGAGUCCAUGAAGAGACAAGGGAUGUAGUCGAACGAAUCCUCACAACUCCGGAACGAAACCGAAGCUAACGGGAGAAGCAAACCGGAAAGAAACAAACAACAUAGUAAACAACCACCACAGAAACAUGGCAUGAUGCACAAACAAAUAUGAUGCAUGUCCGGUUUAAUGAGGCAUGGCAUGGCAAAGUGCAACAAACAACACUACAAAUUAAGUGGAGCUCAAUAUGCAACGAGUUGCAUAUUGACGAAACACCACAUCAAUUAUUUAGUUCUCUCUCAUUUAUGUACCCAACAAUAUUAAAUGUUGAUUAACAUGGCAAGAGGUGAGACAUAAGUAAAUUACACAUUUUAGGCAAUUUAAAUGAGGCCAGAACAACAAACAACAAUUUCCGGAAAAUCCUCAUGUCCAUAAUUUAGAUUUGAUACUGUUCUGCCAUAAACGCAAUUUUAAUCUUGUUAAACAUUAAAAUGAAGUGCACCAUGUUAAACUAGGCAUUUUUCUACCCCAUUUGCAUAUAAAGUUUAUUAAAUUCCGAGUUACGGUUAAUUAGUUAUGGAGUAAAUCAUUUUAACAUGGCAUUUGAGCAAAUUAAACAAACAACACAUUUAAACAGUUUAAACAUGGAUGAAAGUUGGAUAUUAUUAAACUACACAAAUUUCUGAGCAUCUUUCAUAUAUAAUGUUUUUACAAAUGAUGCACGGUUAAUUAAUUAUUAAUGCAUGAACAUGAGGGGUUUUUCUAUAAAACUGCAAUACUCUGGAUAAUAGCUAAAUCGCAGACAUGAAAAAAAAACUACACUGGGCCGAAUCUAAAACCGAAGCAGGCCCAACAGAAGAAUAACAAAGGGGCGCUGGGGGGCCUCACCAUGGGCCAAGGCCCAGUCGAUGGAGAGGCUGGCUGGAGCGGGCGCUGGGCAAGGGCGCGGUCAACGCGAGGCACUGCUCGUGCACUCGUUCUCCUGUUCGAAGCAGGGGGUUGCGGGCGGCGCCUGGAGCAGAGCUUUGGUCUCCGGCGACGGGCGGCGCGACGGAGAGGCUACGCGGGGGAGGAGGCCCGGAUCUGGCGGCAAGCUCCUGGACGGCGCCAGAUCAGAAGAAGAGGAGGCCUCGGCGUGGUCUCUCCGACGAAGCGGCGACGCGGGGAAGAUCCCGACGACGAUGAGAAGGCAGCAGCAGAAGCUUGAGGCAGGGCCGGAACCUGCCGGCGUCGACGCGGGCGAGCGCGAGUCAGAGGAGGCGGGGAUGGCGCUGCGUCUCUUGCGGCGGCUGCAGCAGACGCUUGGGGCGCGGCCAUGGCUUGGCGUCGGCAAGGGCCGACAGGGAAGGCGGGGAACGACCGGAUCCUUGACCGGCGAGCGAGAAGAGGCAGCACCGGCGCGGGUCUCAUCUGCUGGUGAUGCUCGAUGGCGGAGGGAGCUCCGGUGGAGAAGGGGAGCGGGGCGGCUGCGCCGUUGCGGGCGACGAACUGAGCAAGGCGGCGACGAUGGCUGCUGGAAGGAGACGCGAGGACUGCGGCUGCGGAUGUCGGCGCUCCGGAGCUUGUCGGUGGCGGAGGAACGACAACGGGGCCGAGCAGAGGGAGCGUACAGGAGGGGCUCUAGAAGAAACUCCCCUUCGGGAGCGCGAGGAGAAUUUCCUCUCCUUGGAUCGAGCGUUGUUCCUGGCUGGUUCGGUCGCAACUUUGAGGAGGGGAAGGGGUGGCUGCUGAUCUGGAGCGGGGAAGAUCCCGAGGAAGAGGAGGAUGGAGGGAGUGGCGGCGGCAGAGAAAGGAUGGAUGGGACAAGCCUCCUAAAAACUAGGGUUUGUCCAUAUAUAGAUUAGGGGACUUUAUAUAGGGAAAGAAAGGGGUAUUUUGGAUCAUCUGAUUAAAAUCGGACGGCUGAGAAAAUAUAGUUUAGGAAGUCCAAUGAAGAAAACGGUGAUGUUUUCUAGAUGUUUGGGGAUGAUCCGAAUCCAACGGUAACAACAAACCGGGUCGGGUACGGGACAACUUUCGGACGCGCGGGAGGGGAUCGCGGGCUGACGAGAGAGGUUAGUUGGUUUGACAAGAGGGAACCGAAAACACGGUUGGUCUCGGAACGGUCAAUGAAAGCAAGGGGGAACGCGGCAACUACGAUCGGAUGCAUGUUUUUAAAAACAAAGAUGGCAACGAGUGCCGAUGCAAUGCGAAUGAUGCGAUAAUGAAUGCAACAAACCAACGAAACACAUGACAACAACGAAAAACAUGGAAGCCGUCUGGAGCGUCGGUCUAGGGGCGUUACAACACUCCACCACUACAAGAGGAUCUCGUCCCGAGAUCUAGGAUGGCACCGGAGAAAAGCGGAAGAGGAAAAGGUAAAACAAAUUGCUUCUUGACAAACGAGUGAAACCAAAGAACCUUGAGAGGUCGCAAAGCUUGAGGAAAAGACACAACGGAGAUAAGCGAAUUGAGAGAACUCCGUAGUAAACGGAAGCAAAGAACACCAUGAGAACCUUGAGGUUAAGUGACACGAUAGAUAUUUGAACCACUCCGGUUAAAACAAGAUAGGAAGGAAUAAGAGUGAUAUAAUUUGGGCAGCACUCCGACUGUAAUUGGAAGGAAUUGAAUAUGAUCUUGACAAGAUGAGAGGAUACUCGAUGAAAUUAACAACACAUUGCCUCCGGAACUAAUGAAAGAAUGGCACAAGGGGUAAGAAAGAUUUCAGGCAGCACUCCGGUUGAGGGAGGAGACAAAACUUGCCAGAAUGGGAAGAACUUGAAAAGAGGGCACGACACUCCGGUUGGAAAUGGAUAAGCACGAAAAGAACACGGUCCUCACAAACCGAGAAGAUGAGUGGAGAGAGCAACAUCACAAUGCCUUCGGAACAAACGAAUAGAAACUAGAUCGUCGGAAUAAAAGAACGGAGAAGGAAAUGAUAACUUCUACCACAAUUGAAUUUGGAAAGCAUCCUUAAAAGAAAGAUAGAACGGAGUUGUUGGAAAACCAACAACUAAAAGAACAAGCUUGUAUUGGGCUUAUGGAAAACUUCUCAAAAUAUGAGGUGAAAAUUUUGCCACUAACGAAAACAAUUGCUUGUUUGAGAUUAACGAAGAGAUGAAAUCUUCUCUCGCCGAGAGGAUAGGAGAAAACUUGGAUCAUUGAUAAACACCACAAAUAGCUACAUUCCUUAGGGAAGGCUAUAGGUGAAAUAUAACCCAAUACAACUCCAACAAAAAGAUUGAUUGGUUGAAAAGAUCUCUUGAACGAAGAGAAAAUGAUGGAUUUAAUUAUCUCAUUCCUGACAACUUGUGAAUCAUGAAACAUGAAGGAAAUUGUCAAAAAUGACAUAACACCAUCCCAAAAGAUAAGGUAGAGAGAAUUGCACUUCGGAAUGCAAGAUGAAGAAUGCUUGAACUCCUCAAAACAAACUUGUGUUGAACACCAUGUUUAUUUUAGAGUAUAGCUUGACGGAUCUUGACUCCGAGAGAAAUCUUGAAGAACAAUUGAAGAAUGAAACGAAUCCUUGAUGAGCCACCAUGUAGAGCCUCCAUGAUGAACUCCGGUAAUAAAAGAAUGAUCAAACGAAAUGGAAAGUUGAAAAGAACUCCGGGAGAAGCCUUGCAAUGAUUAGAUGAAGCUUUGAAAUGAUAUAAUUGAAAUAACUUGAAGCUCCGGAAAGAAAAGAUGGACAACAUAUAACUAAGAUAUCGAUAUCACGAACAAACUCCGGUUGAAAGAAUUUACACUUGGAUGAAACAAGAACAAGAAUUAUGUUAUGCGUAUCCUUCACCAAUAUAAAUUGAUGACAAGCAACGGAUUUGGCAUACUACUUAUUCCCGUAGAAAGUAUUAAGAUAGAUAUAGCGCAAACUUGAAUAAGGUCUUGAUGGAACCACCGGUGGGAUUUGGAAACAACGAAUGAAUUAAUAUGAUAACCAAGAAAGAGAACUCUUGAACGAACCACCGUAAGAAUUGAAAAUGAAAGUAGCAAAUGCACAAUUCAACAGAAAGAAUUAGAAAAUGAAUGAAGAUACUUGACAGAAUUUAGACACAUGAGAACGAAAAGAUCAUGAACUAAUUAGAGGAUAUUUGAACGAUGCACCAGUAAGAUUUGGAGAACAAGAGCUGAAUAUUGAGAACGAAUAAAUCUUAUGAAAUGAUGGCCUUUGGAUGAUCAAGAAAUGAAAACAACUCUGGAAUGCUCCGGAUGGGUAAGAAAAGAAUUGCGCGAUUGGAAACAAUUUGAGAGGAUGGCAACAAGUUAGAACCAUGAAUCUUCAAGAGAACGGAUACGAUUUGGAGGAAAAACUCUUCUUCGGUCUUCAAAUGUUGAGAAUAAUGAUGAGAAACACCACCAUGGAUUGUUGAGAUACUCUGGGAUGAAAAUUAGAAAGGUUGAACCAACGAUGAAAAGAAUUUGAAAGAUCUUGGAGAAAGACAUUUAACUGAUGAUAAUUCAUUCUUACGUCAAACUUUGCAAUGAAUUUUAGAAACUCCGGGAAAAUUAGAAGAGUCAGGUAAGAUCCUGGAAAAGACCUGUGGGUUAGGGCCCACUCAAGAGAAACACCGUUGAAAUGAUAAGUUGAAAAGGAGAUUGCGCCGGUUGAAUUAAAUGGCUUGAAUGAGAUAACAACCUCAAAAUAGCUUGAACGGAUCUUGAAUGAAAACACGAAUCUCCUGAGAUAUCUUCAACACUCCAUAUAACAUGAAUAGCAAGAGGUGGAUGAUUAAGAGAUGCACCGACAUGAGAAAGCAUUUGAAACGAGGAAAGGAAUGCGAUCAACACUGAAGGCUUGAAUUGAAUCCACCGGAGAAGAAAAGAAUGAAGAAUGGUAAACUUGAAGCUUCGUGAGCAUCUUCCUGGGAAAUCACCGGAUAAGAACAUUGAUUGAAAAGAAUGAAGAGACUUCACGUGAAUAAAAAUGGAUACUAGAUUAAGAAAUCUGAGUCCUUGAAAAAAAGGGAUGGGAGGGCGGGAAAACAAAAGGUAACUUGGGGCAGAUGGAAUAAACACCGUUGCAAAGAACUGAGAAUUGAUCUCGCGAGUGUUGAAAUGAUCGGAUCCACUUGAAGAGAAGCACGCCGAUUGGAAAAGAAUUUAACAUGACAAUCUCGAUGAUCAAGAAGGAUUAGUAUUCCCAUAGCAAUAUGAGAACACCGUUUAGGGAAGGUAUGGAAUCAACAGUUGACAUUGAAGCAACUUGAAUACGACAACUUAAAAGAAAACAAAGGAUUUGGCUUGCGGAAUAAGCCGGAACAAACAUAUGAUAGAGAUUUCGUCCGAAGUUUUCGUGGUGGGGCCCACACGGGCUCGAUCGUACAGCACCAUCAUGUACAAGGCAGUGCACAUGACAUACGAAGCGUCCCCGAGUCGGCAUAGCCAAGGACUCUUUAAGACACUACGAGACCACUGUAAAACCAACCGUGGAAAGGCGGACCACUAGACGUCGAACCCCAAUCUCAUAUCAUGCAUCUGUCGAAAAGAUAUCCUAAGAGCUACUUGAAUUCCCACUUAUAAACUCCCGAAACUUUCUGGUUAUGCAAUCUGGUGUUGGGGAUACAGGGGACACAAAAUAUAUCACCCAAACUAACAAUCCCUAGAUCCAGCUGUAUCCAUCCGUCAACACAUAACCAAGAACCUUCGGAAAUCGUUUACCUCAACCUUCGAAAAGCAUCCGUUAUACGAGUUAUGGCAAUACUCCCGAACUCCCGCCCCAGUACUGGGUGGCGUCGAGGUGAUCUCACCAACAACUGCAUAAAAGAGAUUUCGAUGUCGGCGAAACUCAGGUAUUCCAGAACUGCAACGAUAAAAUUGUGACGACAACACCUCGGAGCUCAACUCCCCGGGACACUGCCACAACCCCUAAAUGUCAGGAGGCACCAAGAACAAUGUUCUCGUCACAAAACCAUCGGAACAAUUCCAAGAUACCCGCGUGAUCCUAAAAAAAAAAAUUAGUGAAAUUUGAGGAGAGAAGAGUCAAAACUUCUACGUCAGGAGACCUCACCAGAGCGACGAAAGGACUGAGGAGUAAAAAGAAUCCUACUCUCCGAUAUAUAUAAUCCUAAGACUCAAAACAUUUUUGUUCUAGACUGAACAACGCCAGCGAUUCGAUCAAGCAGGGGGCUCCUAAGUCGGGGAUGGCUCUGAUUACCAACUUGUAACGCCCACGAUGCGGCUAUAUCUCCCACGUGUCAAGGAACGACUUAGAGGCAUAACCGCAUUGUGGUUUUGUCGCAAGAAGGGUCAUCUUCACACAAUCCCAUGUAAUGAACAAGAAUGGGAUAAAGAGUUGGCUUACAAUCGCCACUUCACACAAUACAUGAAUAAAACAUACAUCAUUCAGAGAUACACACAUAGGUCCGACUACGGAACCAAAAGAAAAGAAGACAACCCAACUGCUAGAUCCCUGAUCGUCCCAACUGGGCACCACUACUGAUCAAAAAGAAAAGAAACAACACAACGGACAAGAUCUUCAUUGAGCUCCCACUUGAGCUCAGUAGCGUCACCUGCACUGGUAUCAUCGGCACCUGC
rnacentral:lncRNA from 1 species